UGUUGUGUGGCUCAGUGGGAAGAGUAGUUGUCUUGCAAUCCAAAAGUUGUUGGUUAGAUUCCUGCUUCUUCCUGUGACAC